rnacentral:rRNA from 1 species
UCGACGCACGAACCGACUUCGGUCGGCAAGUGAGUGGCGCACGGGUGAGUAACACGUAGGUAACGUACCUCGGAACGGGGGAUAACAGGCCGAAAGGCCUGCUAAUACCGCAUAAGACCCCAGAGUCUUUGGACUCAGGGGUAAAAGAUGGGGAUCUCUUCGGAGACCUGUCAUUCCGGGAGCGGCCUGCGGCCCAUUAGCUAGUAGGUGGGGUAAUGGCCCACCUAGGCUUUGAUGGGUAGCUGGUUUGAGAGAAUGAUCAGCCACACUGGAACUGAGACACGGUCCAGACUCCUACGGGAGGCAGCAGUGGGGAAUAUUGCGCAAUGGGCGAAAGCCUGACGCAGCCACGCCGCGUGAGUGACGAAGGCCUUCGGGUUGUAAAGCUCUGUCGCGAGGGAAGAAAUAGUUGGAGUUAAUAGCUUCAAGGGAUGACGGUACCUCGCAAGAAAGCACCGGCUAACUCCGUGCCAGCAGCCGCGGUAAUACGGAGGGUGCAAGCGUUGUUCGGAUUCACUGGGCGUAAAGCGUGCGUAGGCGGCCAAGUAAGUCGGAUGUGAAAGCCCAGGGCUCAACCCUGGAACUGCAUUCGAUACUGCCUGGCUUGAGUGUGGGAGAGGGAAGCGGAAUUCCUGGUGUAGCGGUGAAAUGCGUAGAUAUCAGGAGGAACACCCGUGGCGAAAGCGGCUUCCUGGCCCAAAACUGACGCUGAGGCACGA